rnacentral:tRNA from 1 species
GCGGAUUUAGCUCAGUUGGGAGAUUUAGCUAGACUGAAGAGAGCGCUAGAGGUCGCUAGAUCGAUCCUGGCAAUUCGCA